GCGGUCAACCAAUCACAACUUCCGACGCUGUGCAGUAGGGGAUUUCAAUAUGGCGGACAUAGAAUUUUAUCAAGAUGAUGCAGAGGAUCCCCUUGGUGACGGUGAUGACAUCUUAUUUGGUGGAGAUUAUGAACAGGGUCAGGAAGAUCUGUUAACUCCCUUACAGCG